UUAUCCCUGUAAUUCUCGUGAGGUACUGACUUUUGCACCUUUUUUAUUACUUCGGGGUUUGUCCCUGAGGACGGUGUGCAGGCCUUUCUCGUAAAAGGAAGCCUAAUGUCUUUACACGUUACCCCACCUGGUUUAACCAGGUACAAAAGUAACAAUACACACGGCUUUAUGGGGAUAUC
rnacentral:other from 1 species